rnacentral:rRNA from 1 species
AGGACGAACGCUGGCGGCGUGCUUAACACAUGCAAGUCGAGCGGAAAGGCCCUUCGGGGUACUCGAGCGGCGAACGGGUGAGUAACACGUGAGUAACCUGCCCCUAGCUCUGGGAUAGCUCCGGGAAACCGGGAUUAAUACCAGAUACGACCACUUUAGACAUCUGUCGUGGUGGAAAGGAUUCCGGCUAGGGAUGGGCUCGCGGCCUAUCAGCUUGUUGGUGGGGUAACGGCCUACCAAGGCGACGACGGGUAGCCGGCCUGAGAGGGCGACCGGCCACACUGGGACUGAGACACGGCCCAGACUCCUACGGGAGGCAGCAGUGGGAAUAUUGCGCAAUGGGCGAAAGCCUGACGCAGCGACGCCGCGUGGGGGAUGAAGGCCUUCGGGUUGUAAACCCCUUUCAGCAGGGACGAAGCGAAAGUGACGGUACCUGCAGAGAAGCGCCGGCUAACUACGUGCCAGCAGCCGC